rnacentral:rRNA from 1 species
AGAGUUUGAUCCUGGCUCAGAUUGAACGCUGGCGGCAUGCCUUACACAUGCAAGUCGAACGGCAGCGCGGGGCAACCUGGCGGCGAGUGGCGAACGGGUGAGUAAUAUAUCGGAACGUACCCUGGAGUGGGGGAUAACGUAGCGAAAGUUACGCUAAUACCGCAUACGAUCUAAGGAUGAAAGUGGGGGAUCGCAAGACCUCAUGCUCCUGGAGCGGCCGAUAUCUGAUUAGCUAGUUGGCGGGGUAAAAGCCCACCAAGGCAACGAUCAGUAGCUGGUCUGAGAGGACGACCAGCCACACUGGAACUGAGACACGGUCCAGACUCCUACGGGAGGCAGCAGUGGGGAAUUUUGGACAAUGGGCGCAAGCCUGAUCCAGCAAUGCCGCGUGAGUGAAGAAGGCCUUCGGGUUGUAAAGCUCUUUUGUCAGGGAAGAAACGGUGGGGGCUAA